GCUGGUGAUUUAGUCGCGCGUGUCCCACCUCUUCCCAUUCCGAACAGAGAAGUGAAAGCGCGCAACCCCGAUGAUACUUAAUUCAUUUUUGGGAAAGUAGGGUUUGCCAGCC
rnacentral:rRNA from 1 species